UACAUAGGGUGCAAGCGUUGCCCGGAUUUAUUGGGCGUAAAGGACGCGUAAACGGCCCAGCGCGUCCGCGGUGAAAGCUCCCGGCUCAACUAAAAAAAGUCCGCGGAAACGGUCGGGCUGGAGCAAGGUAGGGGAUCGUGGAAUUCCCAGUGUAGUGGUGGAAUGCGUAGAAAUCGGGAGGAACACCAGUGGCGAAGGCGGCGACCUGGACCUGUGCUGACGCUGAGGCGCGAAAGCAUGGGAAGCGAUCCGG
rnacentral:rRNA from 1 species